rnacentral:other from 1 species
CGGUUGCUGCCGAGUGCGUCAACGUUCGCAAUCCCUGGGGCCAAUAAUGACCUCUUGGGAGCUGUCCCUGCCGGACCCGUGGGUUCGGUAAAUGGCGCCCACCUGCAUUCGCAGGCCACAGAGGAUCAUCGAACCAACGGCUGCGGCGGCGCCGUC